GCUGCCGCAAGGACCCGAAAGGGAUGCUGUGAGGAAAGUCCGAGCUUCAUAGGGCAGGAUGCUGGAUAACGUCCAGUAAGGGUGACCUUAAGGAAAGUGCAACAGAAAUAUACCGCCAUGGCAGCAUGGUAAGGGUGCAAAGGCGAGGUAAGAGCUCACCGCCUUUCUGGUGACAGGAAGGGCUCUGUAAACCCCAUCCGAAGCAAGACCGAACAGAAAGCGAUACGGUGGCCCGCCGUGCUUUCGGGUAGGUCGCUUGAGGCAUGCGGCAACGUAUGUCCCAGAUAGAUGAUCGUCUAAGACAGAACUCGGCUUACAGACGGACUCA
rnacentral:RNase_P_RNA from 1 species